rnacentral:rRNA from 1 species
UACGUAGGCAGCGAGCGUUGUUCGGAGUUACUGGGCGUAAAGGGUGUGUAGGCGGUUUUCUAAGUUUUGGUGUGAAAUCUCCCCGGCUCAACCGGGAGGGUGCGCCGAAAAACUGGGGAGACUAGAGUGCGGGGAUGGGAGAGUAGAAUUCCCGGUGUAGCGGUGAAAUGUGUAGAGAUCGGGAGGAACACCGGUGGCGAAGGCGGGUCUCUGGGCAAUUCCUGACGCUGAGGCGCGAAAGCGUGGGGAGCGAACAGG